AAAGUAUAACCUUAGAAAAUCAGCAUUAAAUUAAAUUGGUAGAUCAUGUAAUUUUAUUACUCUUUCUGGAUUUAAAUAUAAGAUGUUUAACGUUUUAUACACAUAUUAAAAAACAAUAAAUACACUAUUUUAAUUGUUACUUUUUGAUUAUAUCAAUAAAGUUUCACCACACAUAAUUUUACUUUUCAAUUUAUGUUUAAAUUUUUAAAAAUAAAUGCAUUAAUUAUAUCUCAAAAGAUCAUAUAUUUAUAUACAAGAUAAAAAUAUAGAACAUCUUACAUUCGUAUCCGGAGGGAAUAUAAUUUUUCCGUAGGAAAGAUUGUGAGAGUGUGCUUGAAGUAACGAAACUAAGAGUAUGGUCGAAGGUAGCUUAAGAAAAUGGGGAUAUAGAAGAUAAUGUCACUGGCUAUAUAUGUCUAAGAAUGUGGAUUUGUUAUCAU
rnacentral:lncRNA from 1 species